AUGAUCAAAUAGGGGCCAUUCUGAGAAAAUGGCAAGUCAUUUACUCAGUGGAGACAAGGCCAAAUUCUAAAUGGUUGUAUCCAUAGCAGGGGAGGAGAAUUCUCUGAGCUUUCAGUCCAAAUCUUUGCAAGGCUCAAAAUGCCACAAAACCUCUCCUCUUCUCCCCACUCCCCGUGGCAGGGACUGGGCCACCCCUACAUGCAACAUGCAGUGUCUCUGGCCCCUCCCAUUGCCGUGACAAAACAGGUACCUUUGGGGCAUGGGGGCAUCACAUGGGAUGCUUGUGUAACUGACCACCUAGCCUUCUCUUUCCCCUCCCGUCCUCCCAGAAUCACUUCCUAGGACACCCGAGCUGCUUGCCCAGGGUCCUGUUUCCCUGCUAACUCCAGAGAAGCAUCCCAGGGCUUUGUGACAGUCUCUAUUCCCUUCCCUUCUCGUUAAGAAUCAUAUUGUAUAGUAGCUUUCAGACCAUACAGUAUUCAUUGGGUUACUCCUAUUAUUACCAAGUAGCUGGAAUUGUGAAGGUCGGAGUAGUUAGAUCUUUAGCUUUUAUUCCUUAUUUUUUUGUAUUACUCUCCAUGUGUAUAAAUUAUUGAUCAUGUUGCUGGCUUUUAUAAACUCUAAGCGAAGGAGGAGCACUGCCUCAGCCUUUGCAAAUGGUAAUGAAGCACUGUUUUUAAAUAAAAGAGAGAAACACCA